UUUACUUGAUGGAGUAACAUAUCAUCUCUACAGAGAAGCAUGAGCAGCCAAACAUGAGAUGUGGAGUCUCUCUGUCAUAAAAGUAGGGACCAAGGAAACUUAUGAGUUAAUGUGGUCUCAUUUUACCCAACUCAGUGAAGAUGAAGGAUAUUCAAGUUACCUUUCUCUAAUUGGCAGCUUGUAAAAGAACUGGAGGAUACAGACUAUUUGGGGGAUGAGAAGGAAUUGAAAAUAUGCUCGUUCAAGCAAUCCUCAAGUGGCUACCAGAUACUGUUACAGAUGCUUAAGGAGUUGACAACCAUGCAUAUGAUCACCAUCAGGGAGCUAAGAAAUUCACAUGGCUCUAGUGAAUUCUAGUCAUUAACAAGGACUGGACAACCUCUAUCCUAUUGCAGGAAGCAACUCCUGGAUGCACAGGAUAAUGUACCAUGGCCUUUUGCCAAGAAACAACUUGAAUAAAAACAGGACCAUGUUUGCAUCAGUUGCCUGGUUGCAUUGACGUUCUCUAGGACACAUAAUAAUAAUUAGCUCUACAUUUCUCACAGAGAACUGUGAAAGACAGUGGUUUUGCAGAUGCUGUAAACCAGACAGUGUCAGAUUUUGAUGAAACCCUCACAGACCCGCACUUCCUGAAGGAUUUUGCCCCCUGAGGUUGUCAGAAAAUCUCACUUUAGCCCCACGAGGCAAUCAGAGCAAACACAACAGAGAACAAGUUACUUCAAGAGUAUUAAAUUAUAUGUUGUCAUUCAAAACAAUCGUAGACAUUUAAAAGGAAAGCUGUGUGUCAGGCAAGAAACAUAUUGGACUUUUUUUUUUUUCUUUUCAAGCAUCACUUACUGCUUAUUAGCCACAAAAUGUUGAAACAGUUUGAGAUAUAUUGUAAUUAAACUG